AACGAACGCUGGCGGCAGGCUUAACACAUGCAAGUCGAACGGGCGUAGCAAUACGUCAGUGGCGGACGGGUGAGUAACACGUGGGAAUAUGCCUUUCGGUUCGGAACAACUCGGGGAAACCCGUGCUAAUUCCGGAUACGCCCUUACGGGGAAAGAUUUAUCGCCGAAAGAUUAGCCCGCGUUGGAUUAGCUAGGUUGGUGAGGUAAAGGCUCACCAAGGCGACGAUCCCAUAGCUGGUUUGAGAGAACGACCAGCCACACUGGGACUGAGACACGGCCCACGACUCCUACGGGAGGCAGCAGUGGGGGAAUCUU
rnacentral:rRNA from 1 species